rnacentral:rRNA from 1 species
AACGAACGCUGGCGGCAUGCCUAACACAUGCAAGUCGAACGAAACCUUCGGGUCUAGUGGCGCCCGGGUGCGUAACGCGUGGGAACCUGCACUUAGGUUCGGCAUAACUCCCCGAAAGGGGUGCUAAUACCGGAUAAUGUCUUCGGCCCAAAGAUUUAUCGCCCUUGGUUGGGCCCGCGUUGGAUUAGCUAGUUGGUAGGGUAAAAGCCUACCAAGGCGACGAUCCAUAGCUGGUCUGAGAGGAUGAUCAGCGACACUGGGACUGAGACGCGGCCCAGACUCCUACGGGAGGCAGGAGUGGGGAAUAGUGGAACGUGGGGGGAGGGCUGAUGCAGCAAGGCCGGGUGAGUGAUGAAGGCCUGGGGGUUGUAAAGCGCUUGUACCCGGGAUGAUAAUGACAGUACCGGGAGAAUAAGCUCCGGCUAACUCCGUG